UUUAUUGCAUAUUAAAAUUUAUUUUGUUUGUUCUGUCUCAAAAUCCGAAUAAAAGCUCGACAUAAUUGUGAUCAAAUCAGUUUGGGUUACGGUCUUUAACGUAUACAACGGUCCUAUGACCAAAAUGAUUUCCACUUUCGCGCUCUUCGUUUUAAGCAUAUUGCAUGCGCAUGCUGCUCAUCAAGGUGCACCAAUUCCUCAGAAUUAUUAUAAUCCACCACCGGACGUACCUCCAACUUCU